rnacentral:rRNA from 1 species
CCUACGGGAGGCUGCAGUAGGGAAUUUUCGUCAAUGGGCGCAAGCCUGAACGAGCGAUGCCGCGUGAGUGAAGAAGGCCUUCGGGUCGUAAAGCUCUGUUGCGGGGGAAAAAAAGCAGCAUCAGGAAAUGGGUGCUGACUGAUGGUGCCCCGCCAGAAAGUCACGGCUAACUACGUGCCAGCAGCCGCGGUAAUUCGUAGGUGGCGAGCGUUAGCCGGAAUGAUUGGGCGUAAAGGGGGCGCAGGCGGUCCUGUAAGUCUGGAGUGAAACGCAUGGGCUCAACUCAUGGUUGGCUUUGGAAACUGGAGAAUUGGAGAGAAGGAGAGGGCGGUGGAACUCCAUGGGUAGCGGUAAAAUGCGUAGAUAUAUGGAAGAACACCAGUGGCGAAGGCGGCUGCCUGGCCUGUUGCUGACGCUGAGGCACGAAAGCGUGGGGAGCAAAUAGGAUUAGAUACCCGGGUAGUC